GUAGGACACCCCACUUCUAAUUAGCCCGCCUCCAGCUUCCCCAUGCCGACCAGUCUCCAGUCAGGGCACACCUGAAGAUUUCUUUUUUCCACUAUAAAGCGUUCACACUCCUUUGCUUGCCUUUUGGUCUCUGCCAAACCCCUUGAUAGUGGCUGACUCCCUUACUGUAGCAAGCGCUGAAUAAAUAUUUUCUUGUUUUCAUUUCAUUUCAUUUUCACUGAUUUCCACAAACCUUCUACCUAGCCCAUAUUUAGAUUUCUCUGCUCAUUCUCAAAAUACUUUCUCAAUAUCCAUUGUUUGAGUCAGCGUCCCAGCAACAUCCACACAUCAGCGGCUACAAACGGACGUUACCUAAUUCAGCCGUUCCUUCCCCAAUUAUCAGAUAGAUGCUCCUGCUUGGGAGAACGUUUCCUCAUCAAUUAUCACAAACAAAAUCCCGGUUCCCAGAACAGCGCCAGCAACAAAGCAGGCUUUGAAGAUGCUUUCAAAAGAAAGAAAAAAAGCAAAGAGAGAAGGAUUGGUUGAUUCAGUGAAUGAAUGGCAUCCUCAGGAUAAGAGCCCCGACUCACAACAAACCCGGGCUCUCCUCCCUCACCACCUUCUAGCCCAGUAUUGCUCAAACCUGCUGGUAAGAUGAUGAGAAACACCGGGGGAGCUUUCAAAUCCCAGAUUCCAGGAGCGGAGGGAGUUUGCGGUCUCUGGAAGCAGGCACAAUUUUACCAGAUUUUACCCAGGAUCGUAUUUAAACAACGGUCAAAGUGCAGGAGGCACAGCCAAAGCCUGAGACAGGCAGAGAGAUACAUUUCUUGGAGAAGAUGAAAAGGAGACACUCCCAGAGGAUGUCCCCACGAUUUGGUCCCAGAACAGAAGAACCAGAGCAGGAUACGUCAACCCCAUCAAAGUCAGGAGGAAUGGGCCAGAGUGGAGAAGGCGGACAUGUUGACCACAGUCUCUGCUGUUGUCUCUCCCAACACCUCCGAGGCCCCCUCGUCUGCUAUGCAGGUCUCCUCGCCCGCAAAGCUGGGCCCUUUAUGGGUCUCUGCGUCUCCACAUCUCGAAAGUCUGUAAUGCCAGUCUCCUCUUUGUUUCCACGCCUGAGACGCGGGUCCCCUCUCCCAUCUCCUCUCCUGCUAAGCUCCCACUGCCAGUCUUCUCUCCCUCGACACCCCCAAGAUCUGAGGCACAGGUCUCCCCUCGGAUCCUCACGCUCCCCAUGCUCGCAUCUCGUCUCCACACCUGUCAUGCAGGUCUCCUUGCCGACCAGUCUCUUCCCUGGACUCCACGCCUAAGAUGCGUGUCUCCUCUCGCAUCUCCUCACCCGCCAAGCCCUCACUGUCAGUCUUCCGGCCCCUCUCCAUGCCCACAACGCCUGCAACGCUGGCGAUCUCCCCUACAACGCCCACGACGCAAGUCCCCUCCCGGGUCUCCACGCAAGUGUCACGGGUCUCCUCACCUUCAAUGCCCACGACUCCUGGGACGCAUGUCUCCAAGCCAAUCUCCACUCCCCGCACGCCAGUCUCCGCACCUGCAACACCCGAGACACGGUCUCCUUUUGGAUCUCCACGCUUCAGAUGCCCGCAUCUCCGGUCUCCACGCCUGGAACGCAGCUCUCCUCGGCCAUCUCCCCACCCCAGACCGCUGCAACGUCCGGGACGCGGGUCUCCCCACCGGUCUCCACGCCCCCCAUGCCCUCGACACCCUCGUCUGGCAUCUUUUCGCUCAUCUCUAUGCCUCCGAUACCAGUCUCCUCCCUCGACUCCACGCCACCAACACCCCAAGGCUGCUCUCCGCUCCUGUCUCCUCACCUCGCUGGUCAAACCCCACUGCCAAUCUCCUCGCCCCUCUCCACGCCCCCGACGUCUGUGACGCCAGUCUCCACGCCCCGGAUGUUGGUGAUGCCCCGGACAGAGACUUCCUCUCCAGUCUCCAUGCGUAAGCCCCUGUCGCCAGUCUCAUCGCCCGUCUCCACGUGCACAAGACCUGUCUCGUCGCCUACAACGCCCGUGACACCCACAGUGCAAGUCUUCUCAGCUGCCAAGUGCCCUCUCCUGCAACGGUGGCGACGCUUGACUCCGUACUGGUCUCCACGCCCGUUGCGCUCCAGCUGCGGGUGUCCUCGCCAGUGUCGGUGCCCUGGCAUCCGCGCUCCUGCCCUUGCAAGUCUCCUCUCCUGAAACGCGUGCAACUCAUGAGUCUUAUCUCCCAGCCCCCCCGAGGUCACUUCCCAUCUGUUCACUGGUCCCAACUCCCUCUUGGCCCACAAGGCUGGUCUCCUCGCGCAGACACACCAAUUCCAGGGAAAUCUUUCUUUGACCUCAGGAACCUAGAUCUUGUUCAGAGGUGGAAACUUGUUUAAUUGGAAUUUGGCACCAUUUGAGUUCUGCCUUGUCUGUUCCGACCUGGGAAUUUGGUUCUUCUCCGUCUCAGCAAUGAUCUUCCAGCUUCUCACUAUGGAUCAGUAAUCUUUCCCCCUCGAUAGCGCAGAUGGAAGGUUUGCUCUCUGCCCUCAGGCCCUCUCCAAACGCCAGCAAUUGAAUGGAUCCCUAUUCACCCGCUGUCUUGAUGCACCCACCCCCCCCACACACACACACAGAUGCACGCGCACACGCAGGCACACACGCGCGCGCGCAAAGCUCUGCCAUCUACAAGCCCAGGAAUCCCAUCACCCAUCAAGUGCACUAGACCUCAUGGACCCGUGGGAUCAGAGCUCCAGCUAUGAAUAGUCCAGAGAGAAAAGUUUGCCCCCUUCUGGUCACUCCCCUCUUUUUGUCUGCUGCGCCCCCGUGAGUGUAUAUGCUACGUCACUGCUUCCACUGUCUUCAAACAGGGCAAGCAAGAAGGUCUCGAGCCUGUUUGUCCACAGUUUGUGCUUAUUCACAGAGCCUUGCCUGCAGGACCUCUCUCGCAGAGAAGGUCCCAUGACUGAACUUGGUGAACGUGGUGGAAUAUUUCAUAUGUUGUCUAUAACUGUGAGCUGGUAACAGAUGCGCGUGCCUAGGUUUAGCGCUGCAAUGCAUUCAGUUGGAGGUAUGUCACCCGUCCACCAGACCCUCUAUGGAAUCCCAGAAUGCAGUUCUGCACAGUGCAUGUUAGGGCAUCAGUAAGACACCCAGCUGCCCAGGAGCUGAAGUGGGGUCUCUGCCACCCACUUAGGGCAUCUCCCCUCAUUGUUUGCUCCCCAGACAAAUGCCCACCUGUUUAGCUGCCAUCUCACUGGAGCUUAUUCCAUCUACAUUACUUUUUCUUUUUCUCUCUCAUCCCCUGCCUCUCUCUCAUUUUCUUGCCCACCACAGACCACUCUUCCAAUGUCCAAAAACCUUUAUUUCCCUUAUUUAUAUGAGCAACUUUGUUUAUUUGAGUCCUCCUUUCCUAGGACAUUUUCACGGGAGCAUAUGUUUUUAAUGUACAUAAAUAAGAUUGUAUUUUAAAUUUCAUUCUGUUUAUUUUUUGCACACCACUAUUUAUAAAACUGUGUGACACUGAGUGUAUUUAUCCCAUUGCUUCUCAUUGCUGCAUCGUAUUCCUUGGUGUGCAUCUCCACAUGUUGCUGGCAUCUUCCUUCAGUAAUGCCCUUAGGCUGCCUCCCACUCCCAUGACUGUGAAGGAUUCUGUGACAACCCCCUCAACUGUCAUCUCGUUGACCAGGAUGAGAGUUUCUUCCUCGAUUCAUUCCCAGGAUCCUGGCUACUUGGUCAUGUUUUAAACGUAUAAAACAUUUAAUCUCCAUCAUGGAUACCCCAGUCUACACUCUGACCUUUAGCCCUGACCCCUGUCAACCCACACCAUUUACCAGCUUUUUAUCAUUUCACCUUUCUGAAGGGCAUACAGAGAAAGCCUUUCCUUCAUGUUUUUCAAAAUAUCCUGUUCUUCCACAUAAAUUUUAGAAUAGUUGAGAAUUUAUUCCAUAUUAUUCUUUUGGGAUAUAAUUGACGUAUUACAUUGCAUUUAUAUUAUUUGCUUAUAUGAUUUGGGGGCAAAACUUUAUCAAGUCCACACACAGACACAAAGGGCAGGUAGCAUUCAGAUCAGCAUUGUUUAGGGUUGACAAGUGAAUUUGGACGAAUCAGCUUCUUGUUAAACUUUCCCAUUCGUAGGCAAGUUAUAUCUCCCCAUAUGUUCAGAUAUUUAAUGCCCCCCAAUAAAAGUUUACCAUUUUAUGCAGAAUGACCUUGACGAUUAUUUGUAGAUUUGUCCUUCAAUUACCCAGUCUUUGUUUUUAUUCUGAGAGGGCUCUUUUGAAAAGAAAUCAUUUUUUUUCUGUAAGAAGUUGUUGCUGGUGAAUAGGUCUCUUUUGAGUUGUGGGAGGUGAUCUCUUGUCCAGCAGCAGCCUUGGUGAAAUCUGUAACAUUUCUGAUUGUUUGCAGAUUUUCCUGGUUUUUUAAUGUAGGCAGAUAUCCUGGGCAAAUAAUUAUAAUUUGUAUCUUUUUCACCAAGUUUCCUUUAUCCCGCUUUUUCUUGACCCACUGGGCUGGUUAUGACCUUAGAUAUAAAGCUGAAUAUGUGCAAGAAUGGUGGAAAUCUGCAUCUUGCCUGUCAUUCCAGGAAUGCUCUGUACUUUACCUAGUUUGUGGAUUGUUUGCUGUAUCUUUCUUUUCUUUUUUUUUUUUUAAAGAUUUUAUUUUUCCUUUUUCUCCCCAAAGCCCCCCGGCUACAUAAUUGUAUAUUCUUUGUUGUGGGUCCUUCUAGUUGUGGCAUGUGGGACACUGCCUCAGCGUGGUCUGAUGAGCAGUGCCAUGUCCGCGCCCAGGAUUCGAACCAACGAAACACUGGGCCGCCUGCAGCGGAGCGCACGAACUUAACCACUCAGCCACGGGGCCAGCCUGCUGUCUCUUUCUAGCAGAGGUUUUUAAAUCAGAUUUUAAUAAUUUUAUUCCUUGCUUUCCAGGAUGUUACUAACAUUUUAAACUAUGACUGGGUACUAACUAUUAACAACUGCUUUUUCUGCAUCUACUGAGGUGUGAUUUGAUUAUUAUUUUUUCUGGUUAAUCUAUUAAAAUGAAUCUCUUUGAUUCUGUGCCACUCCCUCAUAAGCGUGGUUCCAUUCAUAAGAGUAUGUUUUAAUGUUUAUCAUUACAAUGGUAUAAAGUCCAACAUUUUUGUUUUUUUUUUUUUUGUGAGGAAAAUUGUCGCUGAGCUCACAUCUGCACCAGUCUUCCUUUAUUUUGUAUGUGGGUGGCUGCCAUAGCAUGGCCACCAACCAGUGGUGUAGGUCCGCGCCCAGGAACCAAACUCACAAACCCGGGGCACCAAAGCGGAGUUUGCCAAAUUUAGCCACUAGGCCACGGAGUUGGCCCCUAAAGUCAAAUUUUUAUCAGUAAAUGAGUAUGCAUU
rnacentral:lncRNA from 1 species